rnacentral:rRNA from 1 species
AGAGACAGCAGUCGCCGCGGGAAUACGAAGGGUGCAAGCGUUACUCGGAUUUACUGGGCGUAAAGCGUGCGUAGGCGGCUUUUUAAGUCGGAUGUGAAAUCCCUGAGCUUAACUUAGGAAUUGCAUUCGAUACUGGGAAGCUAGAGUAUGGGAGAGGAUGGUAGAAUUCCAGGUGUAGCGGUGAAAUGCGUAGAGAUCUGGAGGAAUACCGAUGGCGAAGGCAGCCAUCUGGCCUAAUACUGACGCUGAGGUACGAAAGCAUGGGGAGCAAACAGGAUUAGAUACCCCUGUAGUCCCUGUCUCUUAUAC